rnacentral:sRNA from 1 species
CCACACAGGAACAUCUCAGCCCUGAAGCGAGACCUGGACGCCCGAGCCAAGAAUGAGUGCUACCGAGCCACAUUCCGGCUGCCCAGGGAUGAGCGGCUAGAUGGCCACACAAGCUGCACCCUGUGGACGCCGUUCAACAAGCUGCACAUCCCCGGCCAGAUGUUCAUCUCCAACAACUACAUCUGCUUCGCCAGCAAGGAGGAGGACGCUUGCCACCUCAUCAUACCCCUGAGGGAGGUGACCAUUGUCGAAAAAGCUGACAGCUCCAGCGUGCUGCCCAGCCCCCUGUCCAUCAGCACCAAAAGCAAAAUGACAUUCCUGUUUGCCAACCUGAAAGACCGUGAUUUCUUGGUUCAGAGGAUCUCUGACUUUCUCCAGAAAACACCAUCCAAGCAGCCAGGCAGUAUCGGGAGCAGGAAAGCCAGUGUUGUGGACCCUAGCACAGAGUUCUUUUGGGGACGUACCCUGGAGUGGAAUUGCUGGAUUGUAUAGCAAUUCUAUUUUUAAUAUUUCGAGGAACCUCUGUGCUAUGCUCUAUGCACCAACUGUGCACCACAGUUGGGGGCCAGACCACCAACUGUGGCAUGACUCUGUGCAGACACAGAGCCAGUAGCUG